GCUAACCAGAAAGCCUGGAUGGAUUUCUUAACCUGACAACAGGAUGGUCCUAGUCCCAUGUGCCUGUUCUGGGAGGCUGAAACCUGAAGGUGGUCUGGCUGUUCAUGAUGGCGCCCCCCGAAGGUGAUUCGUUAAAAAUGGAGACUAGAGAGACUGUCAGGAGCCCAAUCAUAAAGCACCUUAUGCUACAGUGAGGAGUCUGGGUCCACCGUAAAAAAAUACGAGUGCAUUUAAAAAAAUGCUGAACGAAUGGAUUGGAUACCAUAAAAGGGCAGCUAAAUAUGAUUACCAUAAGAAGAAAACCCAGGUAUACUUCGGUUCCAGCUCAGAAAAACAAAAGACUGGGGUCUCAGGACCAGUCAAAACUGAUCUGGAACCAGUUUCGGCCCGCCUAACAUGCACAGUACCAACAACCGUGUCCCUUGGAUGAACUAUUUAUG